GGAGGCCGAGGCAGGUGGAUCACGAGGUCAGGAGAUCGAGACCAUCCUGGCUAACAUGAUGAAACCCCGUCUCUACUAAAAAUUCAAAAAAAAUUAGCAGGGCGUGGUGGCGGGCGCCCGUAGUCCCAGCUACUGGGGAGGCUGAGGCAGGAGAAUGGCGUGAACCCGCGAGGUGGAGAUUGCAGUGAGCCGAGAUUGCGCCAUUGCACUCCAGCCUGGGC
rnacentral:lncRNA from 1 species